rnacentral:rRNA from 1 species
GAUGAACGCUGGCGGCGUGCCUAAUACAUGCAAGUCGAACGCACAGCGAAAGGUGCUUGCACCUUUCAAGUGAGUGGCGAACGGGUGAGUAGCACGUGGACAACCUGCCUCAAGGCUGGGGAUAACAUUUGGAAACAGAUGCUAAUACCGAAUAAAACUCAGUGUCGCAUGACACAAAGUUAAAAGGCGCUUUGGCGUCACCUAGAGACGGAUCCGCGGUGCAUUAGUUAGUUGGUGGGGUAAAGGCCUACCAAGACAAUGAUGCAUAGCCGAGUUGAGAGACUGAUCGGCCACAUUGGGACUGAGACACGGCCCAAACUCCUACGGGAGGCUGCAGUAGGGAAUCUUCCACAAUGGGCGAAAGCCUGAUGGAGCAACGCCGCGUGUGUGAUGAAGGCUUUCGGGUCGUAAAGCACUGUUGUAUGGGAAGAACAGCUAGAAUAGGGAAUGAUUUUAGUUUGACGGUACCAUACCAGAAAGGGACGGCUAAAUACGUGCCAGCAGCCGCGGUAA